rnacentral:lncRNA from 1 species
CCCUGCGGAGCCAGGCUUUCUGCUGUGACAGAGGCGAGGGGCCACAGGAGGCAGCAGUCCUUGCCAGAAACGGCCUCAGCCCCCUCCACGCCCCAGCUCACCGCGAGCUCCCCAUGCCGGCUGUGCCUCUCCCUUUCCAGAGCAAGGCGACACCAAACCCCCGCCGGGUCACAUCCUGUCUUCUUCAGAAUGGUCUUUGCACUGCUGCUAGGGACAGGGGCUACCAGAGCAAAAGGACAACGGAGGAGAACACUUAAGCCCAGUUUCCAGAAGCAUCUAAAAACUAGGUUUAACUGAAAGCCAUUAAGAGGGAAACAGCUUCAUCCAACUCCUCUGCCCACCAACCUGUGCUACACGUAUUCCAGGCUCAUCCCACACCUACAAGGCUUUUGCAGCAAGAUCCCUCACCGCUUUAACACCAACCUGAAGCAGGCAGCCGCGUGCUUCUCUCAGAAGGGCUCAUCCGAACGUCCCCGCGAUCCCCCGCAGGAGCGACGUGCCCUGACACAGGGCGACAGACCAACUAACAGCUGACAGAGCAGCGGACGGGACGCUUGCUGUUAGUUCUGCACUUCCAAAGGCAGAACAGCUGAGGAAGGAGGACGUCAGUUUCUCCUCAUACAGCCUCAGCCUGCACGCCCGAGGGCACAGGUGC